GUAGUUUUAAUUUUUUUUUUCUCACAUGACUUAUGAGUCAUUGAAUUUAAAAUAGCUACAUCCAAGAUAUAUAUCUGGACCAAUCUAUAGUUAAAAUCAUUGAAAAAUUUAUUUUUAUGCAGCUGGCCACCUCACUUGAGUUCUUGAUGGAGUAUAUAUAAACUCAGACACAUCUGAGAAACAAAUCUAAAUACUUUUGUUAGAUGACAUCCUUUACUCAUCCUUCUAUUUUACAAUGCUGCGUGUUUAUGUGCGUGCUGAUGUCUGAUGUGAUGCUCACAGGUCGACUGACAGACAGCACACCGGCAGCUCUGCCCUCUAUGAGCGGUAGGUCACAUUUAUCCCGUACCUCCUCCGUUAUAGCCCCAGGAACGGUGCAGCCACAGCCAGGCGAGGUAGAUGAAUCCAAAUGGACAAACUUGUCUGGUGGCGCUAUUUUCCCAUGACACCCAGUCUCUAAAUGUGACCAGACAGCCUAUCUCUGCCCUUAAGAAUGUUUUUUACGUCUCUCCCUCUCUUCUGCUAGUGUUCGGAACAGUUUCAGUCCAUCUGACAUUUUUUUUUCUUUUUUGUGAACACACCAUGUUGAAGUGCACAUCGGUUUUGUGAGAGAUCUUGGCCUGUGGCAAUGGCUGUCAGUAGGAAGAGUUGCAGAGCAGGAGAAUUUGAAUACGGAACUGUUUACCAGGCCUCGCUGUAAGGAGCAGAGUCAUAUUUCAUCAGGUCUUGUUCAAGAAUAUCAGACCUCUCAGCAAACACAGGUUGUCCUGUCUGUGAUCUAAAUUUGGCCGUGAAAAGGAAUUGCUGGUUUGAUGUUUGACAAGGUUGGAAUGCAUUGUUGAGCUUAAUAUUGCAGAAAAGGAUCAACAGUCGUUGCAAGCUUGUACCCUAUUUGUUUGCUUGUAGAAGCAUCAACCUUUUUUCGCCGCCUUUUAGUAGACAAAAGCUAGCUAACAUCGUUAUGUUUAAGGUAUUUGUUUAUAUUUACCCCCAGGCCCAAUAAAUAGUAUACAUUGUGGAUUUCUUCAGUCAAAUAGUUAUUUUUUUCUGAUUUUUGCCACUAGAUGGCGACAAAUGCUCAUGUUAUUUUCAGAUUCAAUGCAUGCGGUUUUCAGUUUAACAACCAGGUUCCAUACAUGCUGUGCGUGCAUUUAAAUUUGAAGCGCUUAUUAUUUUAAAUAAAUUAACAGCUAGUGUCAAAAUAUCUCGUUUUAACCAAAUGUAAAGUGUCAGUGAACGGAUAUCAAAAUUAUAUCUAAAGGGUAGGAAUAUUUCAGAAUCGUGUCAUAUUCAGAUUAGUUUGUUUAUAACAGUUGUGGCGAAUAUCACGAGACCACUUGGUUCUUAGUAUAACCGUUAAUGAUAUUUAUUCGUUCAAACACUGUAGUGGUCGUAGCAUUUUGUCUUAUAUUAUGCUUAGCAGGAAAAACCCUUGGCUUUGGGGUUGUUCCAAACUUCUGAGUGAUGAUUUCUGCUGACAUAACGAUAAAUCCUUCAAAUCCGCUCAAACAUUUUUGAGGUAAAUCAUUCAUAUUUUAUGUGCCAUUUAAACACGACAAAUGCUGUAUGAAUAUAUGUGUUUAUAGUCUAUUUAGAGUUGAACCGUAAAUGCCUUUUCAACUAUAAUUCGGUUUCUGAAUUUGAAUGUAGCUAACAGGAUUCCAAUUCGAAUUUGAAUGUAAGGAAAUCAUAUGAAAAUUAAGUGAAAUUUAAGGCAAUGGCGCCAAGACAGACUUAGAAUUUUUGCUCGGUAUAAACAUUUAAAAAACAUUGAGGACAGACAGACAACUAUAGAAGUAAUUUAAUUCUAAUAAAUCAUUGUAGUUGUAUAGUUAAUAAGAAUGCCUAAACACUUCAUUUCCCAGAAUGCAUUACUACAGUAUACUGAAUUUCUUUAAAUUACAAUUCAUAAAUUUCCUAUUCCUGACAUUAGGAUUUACAUAUUAUUUUAGUAACUUCUUGUCAGUUUCUUUUACAACCCUGGUAGUAGCAAUCAUGUAGCAUUUGUACAUUUACCAAAGUAUUGUUUAUAAUGCAAACCAAUUUCAUUGUAUUUUCCCAUGUUAAACCUCAAACAUUGUAGACCCAUGCUCCACCGUUUUUGUCUAUCGAACAUGAGAUGUGCGGAAAAAGAAGAGACAGUAAAUCAGGAUCGGUCUCACCUGCAGCCAGCCUCCAUAAAACUGAAGGAGGGAGUUGAGCUCCACUAGUUUUAUGAGUGAAGUCAAACAUUUCCAGCCUAUAAAGCCCCGUCUUGCUGCUGGAAAGAAGCCAGGGCAUGUGUCCGUGUUUACCUCACAUGCACCGGGUCGCAUCCUCCUUUCACGCUGAUGUCAGAUUGGCACGACACAUGGAUCACAUCACGGGGCAAAAACCUCCUAAGCAUUCCACCAGCGCAAGCGUGUUAAAGCUUGUAGAGGUGGAGCGGUCCACCUCAUCUGCUCUCUGCCAGAGCCAGUGUGUGUGAUAAAUGAGAGGAGGCCCGGUCUGCUUACUGAUGCACAGGAGAUACUAAACCAGCACCCCACCCCCCCACCGCCAGCCCUCCAUCCACCUCCUCUUCCUCCAUCUUUCAGCUCCAUCUAU